AGAGUUUUUGUUUUUGUUUUUAAAUUGUAUGUGUGACAAACCAUGAGAGGCUCCUGACUCUGGGAACCAGAGGGCUGCAGAAGGGGAGGAGGGUGGGGGGACGGGGUGACCGGGUGACGGGUACUGAGGACGGCACGCAAUGGGAUGAGCACAGGGGGUUGCACUAGAUGUUGGCAAAUUGACUUUAAAUUGAAAAAAUGCAAAAAAAAAAAAAUGAAAUAGUGUUCAGGAAGGUAAAACCAAAGGGAGGGGUGGGGAGGGAGCAGCUGCGGGCCCACCUUGACCUUGGCACCUCAGGGUUCCCACCUGAGAGCAGAAGAGGCCCCGUUAACCAGUGAUGUGCGCCCGCCCCCGGAGACCUGUUUCCUACCUGCUGCCCGGUGUCCCGACAGGCGGGGCCAAGGAACUGUGCUGUCCCCAGGGGUGGGGUGGGGGAGCUGGUCACCCCCUUUCCAGCCUGCCCCGGCCCCUCACCUGCAGCCCAAGGGAUGGGCUGGUAAGGGGGUCUCGCAGCACCUGCCGGGCUCCUGCCCUGGGCCCGGGACCCUCCAGGCCAGGCUCUAAGGCCUGUUAAAUGCAGCAGGGUGGCUCCCGCGCCAGGUCGCCUACGUUCUGCUUCGGCUAAGUCACUGGGAGGCUGGUGGGAAGAGAAAAAAGACAUCUCACCCCCUUCAGGCUGAGGGUCAGCAGGCACAUAGGUCUCUGUCCUUGCAAGGGCUUAGCGGGGCCGACCCCAGGGAAGCAGGGGUUAAACGCCCACUCUGGGGGGGGUGCAGAUGGGGACCUCUGAGCCCAGCCCCCUCCUUACCUGUUUCUUUGCUUCUGGGAGCAUUAGUCCCACGAAAAACACUGACAUGGAAUCCUUUUGUUCCUGGGGUGACGUCAGUGUUUCCCUUGGCAGGCGGGACCGUCGUGCAUGUCUGAACCUCCGAGGUGAGGGCGAGCGAGCGUGGCUCCUCUGGGCCAGGCACCCCGAGGGGGCUGGAACCCGACACCUGGAUGCUCCGUCCCGUCCCCGCACCCACGGAGGGGCUGCUUGCCCACCCUCCACCUGAGCGCGGAGAGCCUGCCUCGCCUACACCCAGGCCGCGGCAAGGAUCGUUUCAGCGGGAUCCAGAACAAAAAAGCAAGCGUUUUAUUAUUCCCUCCCCUUCUGCUCAAAUUCCCCUCCGUGGAGCUGAACACGAGCAUGUUACAACAGACCCCGGCUUUACUCUCAGCAUCAAAGGAUGAAUCACAGACAAGACAGCACGCAGUGGAAGGAGGCGAGGUCUCUCUGGAAGCUGGAUCUGCAGCAUCGUCACCUUCAGCGGCCCCCUCACCCCGGGGCCCUCAUCACCCCCAGUCCAGCAGCAGAUGGAGCCCGCCCCCCUGCACUGGGGGCUACCGCCCCCCCGGGCGAGUGUUGAGGGUCUGUCAGGG
rnacentral:lncRNA from 1 species